rnacentral:rRNA from 1 species
UACGAAGGGGGCUAGCGUUGUUCGGAAUUACUGGGCGUAAAGGGCGCGUAGGCGGUGUGUCAAGUCAGGCGUGAAAGCCCCGGGCUCAACCUGGGAACCGCGCUUGAGACUGGCACGCUCGAGUUCGGGAGAGGAUGGUGGAAUUCCCAGUGUAGAGGUGAAAUUCGUAGAUAUCAAGCGGAACACCGGUGGCGAAGGCGGCCUUCUGGACAGUGACUGACGCUGAGAUGCGAAAGCGUGGGGAGCAAACAGG